rnacentral:rRNA from 1 species
GACGAACGCUGGCGGCGUGCUUAACACAUGCAAGUCGAACGGAAAGGCCCUGCUUUUGUGGGGUGCUCGAGUGGCGAACGGGUGAGUAACACGUGAGUAACCUGCCCUUGACUUUGGGAUAACUUCAGGAAACUGGGGCUAAUACCGGAUAGGAGCUCCUGCUGCAUGGUGGGGGUUGGAAAGUUUCGGCGGUUGGGGAUGGACUCGCGGCUUAUCAGCUUGUUGGUGGGGUAGUGGCUUACCAAGGCUUUGACGGGUAACCGGCCUGAGAGGGUGACCGGCCACAUUGGGACUGAGAUACGGCCCAGACUCCUACGGGAGGCAGCAGUGGGGAAUAUUGCACAAUGGGCGGAAGCCUGAGGCAGCAACGCCGCGUGCGGGAUGACGGCCUUCGGGUUGUAAACCGCUUUCGCCUGUGACGAGGCGUGAGUGACGGUAAUGGGUAAAGAAGCACCGGCUAACUACGU